rnacentral:rRNA from 1 species
AUUGAACGCUGGCGGCAGGCCUAACACAUGCAAGUCGAGCGAGCGGCGGACGGGUGAGUAAUGUAUGGGAAACUGCCAGAUAGAGGGGGAUAACUACUGGAAACGGUAGCUAAUACCGCCUACUCUCGGAUGAGCCCAGAUGGGAUUAGCUAGUAGGUGGGGUAAAGGCUCACCUGGGCGACGAUCUCUAGCUGGGCUGAGAGGAUGACCAGCCACACUGGAACUGAGACACGGCCCAGACUCCUACGGGAGGCAGCAGUGGGGAAUAUUGCACAAUGGGCGCAAGCCGGAUGCAGCCAUGCCGCGUGUAUGAAGAAGGACUUCGGGUUGUAAAGUACUUUCAGCGAGGAGGCGUUACUCGCAGAAGAAGCAUCGGCUAACUCCGUGCCAGCAGCCGCGGUAAUAC